rnacentral:tRNA from 1 species
GUUCAUGUAGUUUAUUAAAACAUUACAUUUUCACUGUAAAGAUAGGCUCUACCUCAUAAAUA